rnacentral:rRNA from 1 species
AUUGGAUCCAGACUUUGAUUAUGGCUCAGGAUGAACGCUAGCUACAGGCUUAACACAUGCAAGUCGAGGGGAAACGACAUCGAAAGCUUGCUUUUGAUGGGCGUCGACCGGCGCACGGGUGAGUAACGCGUAUCCAACCUGCCCAUCACUUGGGGAUAACUUUGCGAAAGUAAGACUAAUACCCAAUGACGUCUCUAGAAGACAUCUGAAAGAGAUUAAAGAUUUAUCGGUGAUGGAUGGGGAUGCGUCUGAUUAGCUUGUUGGCGGGGUAACGGCCCACCAAGGCGACGAUCAGUAGGGGUUCUGAGAGGAAGGUCCCCCACAUUGGAACUGAGACACGGUCCAAACUCCUACGGGAGGCAGCAGUGAGGAAUAUUGGUCAAUGGGCGAGAGCCUGAACCAGCCAAGUAGCGUGCAGGAAGACGGCCCUAUGGGUUGUAAACUGCUUUUAUAAGGGAAUAAAGUGAGUCUCGUGAGACUUUUUGCAUGUACCUUAUGAAUAAGGACCGGCUAAUUCCGUGCCAGCAGCCGCGGUAAUACGGAAGGUCCGGGCGUUAUCCGGAUUUAUUGGGUUUAAAGGGAGCGUAGGCCGGAGAUUAAGCGUGUUGUGAAAUGUAGACGCUCAACGUCUGCACUGCAGCGCGAACUGGUUUCCUUGAGUACGCACAAAGUGGGCGGAAUUCGUGGUGUAGCGGUGAAAUGCUUAGAUAUCACGAAGAACUCCGAUUGCGAAGGCAGCUCACUGGAGCGCAACUGACGCUGAAGCUCGAAAGUGCGGGUAUCGAACAGGAUUAGAUACCCUGGUAGUCCGCACGGUAAACGAUGGAUGCCCGCUGUUGGUCUGAAUAGGUCAGCGGCCAAGCGAAAGCAUUAAGCAUCCCACCUGGGGAGUACGCCGGCAACGGUGCAACUCAAAUGAAUUGACGGA